rnacentral:rRNA from 1 species
UACGUAGGGGCUAGCGUUGUCCGGAUUUACUGGGCGUAAAGGGAGCGUAGGCGGACUUUUAAGUGAGAUGUGAAAUACCCGGGCUUAACUUGGGUGCUGCAUUUCAAACUGGAGGUCUAGAGUGCAGGAGAGGAGAAUGGGAUUCCUAGUGUAGCGGUGAAAUGCGUAGAUAUUAGGAGGAACACCAGUUGCGAAGGCGGCUCUCUGGACUGUAACUGACGCUGAGGCACGAAAGCGUGGGGAGCAAACAGGAUUAGAUACCCUGGUAGU